rnacentral:lncRNA from 1 species
AAUAAAAAUAAAAUAUAAGCAAUCAGAAAUAACAAUCCCCGGCGACACGGCGCCAAAAAUUUGGUAGGAAUUAUAACGCACCACAAAGUAGCACACAAUAAUCCUAUUAAUUUUCCUUAUUAACACUAAGAUUUGUCAAUUGUAGCAUAUGAAAUUAAGGGUCUUUCCCGCAGAAGAUUGUUUUAUCCAAAUACUUAAAAUGUCACAAAAACGGGUGGCUGUCUCCACUGACCAGCCACCAAACAAUAAUUAUUAGACUAACUUAUACUUAUCCAAAUGCAACGAAAUUUUAUACACAUAAACUAGACACACCAAGCUAUGCUCACACAAAGUUUUGGGAUUUUUGGAGUUGAUUUGCUAUUUAAAUUAAAUCGUACAAAAACAUUACAGAAACCGAUUUUAAAUAAUACCAAUAGAUUUUAAUUCACAAGUUAAGAAAAUGAGUUAGGGGACAUGCUUUCCACCACCAAAUAAUCAUGCAAGUAUGUUAUGUUUCAUUCAAAUCCCUUUUAUUUCCGGAUGAAGAUGCUCAAGUUGGCUCAAUGUUAGAACACAACCUAUUACUAUUUCUUACGUAGUAUGUUAAGAGAAUGGUGUUUUCAACUUAACUUAGUCCCUAGCAUGCAAUCUAGAAUGGCGUGUUCAUAGAUUUAACAAGUAGAAAUCAUUAAGAAUGAAAAGAGUUUGAGUCAUCACAAGGCAUCGUAAGUACUGGCGUUGUCUUACUUAUCCUAGAAAUCGGUUCACAUGU